rnacentral:rRNA from 1 species
UACGUAGGGUGCGAGCGUUAAUCGGAAUUACUGGGCGUAAAGCGUGCGCAGGCGGUUCGUUAUGUCGGAUGUGAAAGCCCUUGGCUUAACCGAGGAAGUGCAUCCGAAACUGGCGAGCUAGAGUACGAAAGAGGAUCGCGGAAUUCCCGGUGUAGAGGUGAAAUUCGUAGAUAUCGGGAGGAACACCGGUGGCGAAGGCGGCGAUCUGGGUCGAUACUGACGCUGAGGUGCGAAAGCGUGGGGAGCAAACAGG